AUCCCUUAUUAGACCCGAAACUAGCCGAUCUAUCUAUGGGCAGGUAUGUAAGUAACAUGACCUAACCAGUGCCUGUUGCAAAAGGCUUGGGAGACCUGUAGAUGGUGGUGAAAUGCUAAGCGAGGCUAGUGAUAGCUGGUUUUCUGUGAAAGGUAUAAUAGUACCGCGAGGCUAAUAACCAUUACGUGUAUGUGACAGCAGAAGAGUAAUGGAUUGAAGGCUUUAGACAGACUCACUAUGGGAAGGUAGUAAGUCAACAUGGAAAGAGCCAUAACGUAUUGCUUAGGUCCCCAA
rnacentral:rRNA from 1 species